rnacentral:ncRNA from 2 species
AAUUAAAUAAAAGCGCCAGAACUAAUUGAAUGGAACGAAAAGCGAGUGAAAUUCUAGCUUUUUCUGAAAUUAGUUGACGAGGAGGAGAUUAAUCGAAGUUUCGGCGGGAGUCUCCCGGCUGUGCAUGCAGUCGUUAUGCCUUAGCUACAAACCAUUUGGGUAACCAAGUGAACAGAAUGCUAUGGAUCAUGCGUG